AUACGGAGGCUCCGAGCGUUAUCCGGAUUUAUUGGGUUUAAAGGGAGCGUAGGUGGUUUGUUAAGUCAGUUGUGAAAGUUUGCGGCUCAACCGUAAAAUUGCAGUUGAAACUGGCAGUCUUGAGUACAGUAGAGGUGGGCGGAAUUCGUGGUGUAGCGGUGAAAUGCUUAGAUAUCACGAAGAAAUCCGAUUGCGAAGGCAGCUCACUAGACUGUUACUGACACUGAUGCUCGAAAGUGUGGGUAUCAAACAGGAUUAGAUACCCUGGUAGUCCACACAGUAAACGAUGAAUACUCGCUGUUUGCGAUAUACAGUAAGCGGCCAAGCGAAAGCAUUAAGUAUUCCACCUGGGGAGUACGCCGGCAACGGUGAAACUCAAAUGAAUUGACGGGG
rnacentral:rRNA from 1 species